rnacentral:rRNA from 1 species
GGUGGGAAAACCGUUGGAAACGACGGCUAAUACCGAAUGUGGCGCCGGGAGGCAUCUUCCGCGCGCUAAAGGGGGCCGCAAGGCUCCCCCUCGUUCGAGGGGCUCGCGCACCAUCAGCUUGUGGCGGGUAACGCCACCAAGGCUCACGGUUAGCUGGUCUGAGAGGAUGGCCAGCCGCACUGGGACUGAGAUACUGCCCAGACUCCUACGGGAGGCUGCAGUCGAGGAUCAUUCGCAAUGGGGGAAACCCUGACGAUGCGACGCUGCCGUGGAGGAUGAAGGCCCUCGGGUCGUAAACUCCUGUCAUGAGGGAAAAGGCGAGGGACCCAACACGUCCCUUAGUUGAUGGUACCUCAAGAGGAACGGCGGCUAACUCUGUGCCAGCCGCGGC